rnacentral:rRNA from 1 species
UGAGGAAUUUUGGACAAUGGGGGAAACCCUGAUCCAGCCAUGCCGCGUGAGUGAAGAAGGCCUUCGGGUUGUAAAGCUCUUUCAGCCGGAACGAAACGGUCACGGCUAAUACCUGGGACUACUGACGGUACCGGAAGAAGAAGCACCGGCUAACUACGUGCCGGCAGCCGCGGUAAUACGUAGGGUGCAAGCAUUAAUCGGAAUUACUGGGCGUAAAGCGUGCGCAGGCGGUUUUGUAAGUCAGAUGUGAAAUCCCCGGGCUUAACCUGGGAACUGCGUUUGAAACUACAAGGCUAGAGUGUGGCAGAGGGGGGUGGAAUUCCACGUGUAGCAGUGAAAUGCGUAGAGAUGUGGAGGAACACCGAUGGCGAAGGCAGCCCCCUGGGUUAACACUGACGCUCAGGCACGAAAGCGUGGGGAGCAAACA